AGGGCAUACGGUGGAUGCCUUGGCUAUACUGGCCGAAGAAGGACGCGGUAAGCUGCGAAAAGCUACGGAGAGGUGCAAGCGACCAUUGACCCGUAGAUAUCCGAAUGGGGGAACCCGGCAGAGAAAAGCUCUGUCACCCAUACCAGAGAGUAUGAGGAGGGCACCUGGGGAACUGAAACAUCUAAGUACCCAGAGGAAAAGUAAUCAAACGAGAUUCUCUUAGUAGCGGCGAGCGAACGGGGAAGAGCCCAAACCGGACUGGUUCGCCAGACCGGGGUUGAGGACUGCUAACAAGCAUAAAUGGGAUAGACGAACCGACUUGGAACGGUCGGCCGAAGAAGGUGAAAGCCCUGUAGUCGAAAUCCUGCAUAUGUGGAGCAGUAUCCAGAGUACCACGAGACACGUGAAACCUUGUGGGAAGCAGGGGGGACCACCCUCCAAGGCAAAAUACCAGUAUGGACCGAUAGCGCAUAGUACCGUGAGGGAAAGGUGAAAAGCACCCCGGGAGGGGAGUGAAAGAGAACCUGAAACCGUAUGUCUACAAACAGUCGAAGACCGUAUAAUUGCAGGUCGACGGCGUGCCUAUUGAAGAAUGAACCGGCGAGUUACUGUCACUAGCGAGGUUAAGCGGAAAACGUGGAGCCGAAGCGAAAGCGAGUCUGAAUAGGGCGAAGAGUUAGUGGUAGUAGACCCGAAACCGUAGUGAUCUAUCCAUGGCCAGGUUGAAGCACAGGUAAAAUUGUGUGGAGGACCGAACUCGUGAGCGUUGAAAAGCUUUGGGAUGAGUUGUGGAUAGGGGUGAAAUGCCAAUCGAACACGGAGAUAGCUGGUUCUCCCCGAAAUAGCUUUAGGGCUAGCCUCAUGGUAAAGAGUAUAGGCGGUAGAGCUCUGAUCGGGCUAGGGCCCACACCGGGUACCGAACCUAGUCAAACUACGAAUGGCUAUACUUAUACAUGGGAGUCAGACUAUGAGUGAUAAGGCCCAUAGUCAAGAGGGAAACAGCCCAGACCACCGACUAAGGCCCCCAAUGCUGCAUUAAGUGGCAAAGGAUGUGGAGUUUCCAAAACAACCAGGAUGUUGGCUUAGAAGCAGCCACCAUUUAAAGAGUGCGUAAUAGCUCACUGGUCGAGAGACUCUGCGCCGAAAAUGUCCGGGGCUAAAAUGCAGAGCCGAAGUCGUGGCAAUGGUAGUAAUACCAUUGGGUAGGGGAGCGUUCUUAUUGGGUUGAAGCAGUACCGGAAGGAGCUGUGGACUGGUAAGAAGUGAGAAUGCCGGUAUGAGUAGCGAAAAGAAAGGUGAGAAUCCUUUCCACCGAAAGCCUAAGGGUUCCUGAGCAACGAUCGUCGUCUCAGGGUAAGUCGGGACCUAAGCCGAGGCGGAAAAGCAUAGGCGAUGGACAACAGGUUGAAAUUCCUGUACUAGUAUGAAUUGUUUGAUCGAUGGAGUGACGCAAACAGGUAGGUUAGCAUGCGAUUGGAAGUGCAUGUUUAAGCGUGUAGGUUGUGUAAUAGGUAAAUCCGUUACACUAAAAGCUGAGGCGUGAUGACGAGCUCAAUAGAGUGAAGUAAUUGAUCCUAAGUUGCCGAGAAAAGCUUCUAGGUAGAGACAUACUACCCGUACCAAAACCGACACAGGUAGGCGGGGAGAGAAUCCUAAGGUGCGCGGGAAAACCCUCGUUAAGGAACUCGGCAAAAUGCAUCCGUAACUUCGGGAAAAGGAUGACCCAUGUAGUGUGAAGACUUGUAACGGUUGGAGCAUGAAUGGGUGGCACAAGAGAGGCGCAAGCGACUGUUUACCACAAACACAGGUGCCUGCUAAAGCGAAAGCUGACGUAUAGGUGCUGACACCUGCCCGGUGCUGGAAGGUUAAGAGGAGGGGUUAGGAGUAAUCCGAAGCUCGGUCCUAAGGUAGCGAAAUUCCUUGUCGGGUAAGUUCCGACCCGCACGAAAGGUGUAACGACUUGCGCACUGUCUCAACGAGGGACCCGGUGAAAUUGAAGUACCUGUGAAGAUGCAGGUUACCCGCGACUGGACAGAAAGACCCCAUGGAGCUUUACUGUAACUUAGGAUUGAUUUUAGUUAAUGAAUGUACAGGAUAGGUGGGAGACGUAGAAGCUAGGGCGCUAGUCUUAGUGGAGUCGCUGUUGGGAUACCACCCUUUGAUUAAUUGAAAUCUAACGGGAAGAGUAACGACCUUCCGGACAGUCCUAGGUGGACAGUUUGACUGGGGCGGUCGCCUCCUAAAGAGUAACGGAGGCGCCCAAAGGUUCCCUCAGAGCGGACGGAAAUCGCUCGAAGAGUGUAAAGGCAGAAGGGAGCUUGACUGCGAGACCAACAAGUCGAGCAGGGACGAAAGUCGGGCUUAGUGAUCCGGUGGUGCCGAGUGGAAGGGCCAUCGCUCAACGGAUAAAAGCUACCCUGGGGAUAACAGGCUAAUCUCUCCCAAGAGUCCAUAUCGACGGGGAUGGCACCUCGAUGUCGGCUCAUCACAUCCUGGGGCUGAAGUAGGUCCCAAGGGUUCGGCUGUUCGCCGAUUAAAGUGGUACGUGAGCUGGGUUCAGAACGUCGUGAGACAGUUCGGUCCCUAUCCAUCGCGGGCGAAAGAAACUUGAAGGGGGCUGCUCCUAGUACGAGAGGACCGGAGUGGACGAACCGCUGGUGUACCAAUUAUCCUGCCAAGGGUACAGUUGGGUAGCUACGUUCGGGACGGAUAAACGCUGAAAGCAUCUAAGCGUGAAACCAGCCUUGAGAUGAGGUUUCU
rnacentral:rRNA from 1 species